rnacentral:rRNA from 1 species
AUGACAAAUAUGGUUCGAUGGCUCUUCUCUACUAACCACAAGGAUAUUGGGACUCUCUAUUUCAUCUUCGGUGCCAUUGCAGGAGUGAUGGGCACAUGCUUCUCUGUACUGAUUCGUAUGGAAUUAGCCCGACCCGGCGAUCAAAUUCUUGGUGGGAAUCAUCAACUUUAUAAUGUUUUAAUAACGGCUCAUGCUUUUUUAAUGAUCUUUUUUAUGGUUAUGCCGGCGAUGAUAGGUGGAUUUGGUAAUUGGUUUGUUCCGAUUCUGAUAGGUGCACCUGACAUGGCAUUUCCACGAUUAAAUAAUAUAUCAUUCUGGUUGUUGCCACCAAGUCUCUUGCUCCUAUUAAGCUCAGCCUUAGUAGAAGUGGGCAGCGGCACUGGGUGGACAGUCUAUCCGCCCUUAAGUGGUAUUACCAGCCAUUCUGGAGGAGCAGUUGAUUUAGCAAUUUUUAGUCUUCAUCUAUCAGGUAUUUCAUCAAUUUUAGGUUCUAUCAAUUUUAUAACAACUAUCUUCAACAUGCGUGGACCUGGAAUGACUAUGCAUAGAUUACCACUUUUUGUGUGGUCCGUUCUAGUGACAGCAUUCCUACUUUUAUUAUCACUUCCGGUACUGGCGGGGGCAAUUACAAUGUUAUUAACCGAUCGAAACUUUAAUACAACCUUUUUUGAUCCUGCAGGAGGGGGAGACCCAAUAUUAUACCAGCAUCUCUUUUGGUUCUUCGGUCAUCCAGAGGUGUAUAUUCUCAUUCUUCCUGGAUUUGGUAUUAUUAGUCAUAUCGUAUCGACCUUUUCAAGAAAACCGGUCUUCGGGUAUCUAGGCAUGGUUUAUGCCAUGAUAAGUAUAGGUGUUCUUGGAUUUCUAGUUUGGGCUCAUCAUAUGUUUACUGUGGGCUUAGACGUUGAUACGCGUGCCUACUUCACCGCAGCUACCAUGAUCAUAGCUGUGCCCACAGGAAUCAAAAUCUUUAGUUGGAUCGCUACCAUGUGGGGAGGUUCGAUACAAUACAAAACACCCAUGUUAUUUGCUGUAGGGUUCAUCUUUUUGUUCACCAUAGGAGGGCUCACUGGAAUAGUUCUAGCAAACUCUGGGCUAGACAUUGCUCUACAUGAUACUUAUUAUGUGGUUGCACAUUUCCAUUAUGUACUUUCUAUGGGAGCCGUUUUUGCUUUAUUUGCUGGAUUUUACUAUUGGGUGGGUAAAAUCUUUGGUCGGACAUAUCCUGAAACUUUAGGCCAAAUCCAUUUUUGGAUCACUUUUUUCGGGGUUAAUCUGACCUUCUUUCCCAUGCAUUUCUUUGGGCUUUCGGGUAUGCCACGUCGCAUUCCAGAUUAUCCAGAUGCUUACGCCGGAUGGAAUGCUCUGAGCAGUUUCGGUUCUUAUAUAUCCGUAGUUGGGAUUCGUCGUUUCUUCGUAGUUGUCGCAAUCACUUCAAGCAGUGGAAAGAACCAAAAAUGUACAGAAAGUCCUUGGGCUGUUGAACAGAAUCCAACCACACUAGAAUGGUUGGUACAAAGCCCUCCGGCCUUUCAUACUUUUGGAGAACUUCCUGCGGUAAAAGAGACAAAAAGCUAA